AUUGAACGCUGGCGGCAGGCCUAACACAUGCAAGUCGAGCGGAUGACGGGAGCUUGCUCCUUGAUUCAGCGGCGGACGGGUGAGUAAUGCCUAGGAAUCUGCCUGGUAGUGGGGGACAACGUUUCGAAAGGAACGCUAAUACCGCAUACGUCCUACGGGAGAAAGCAGGGGACCUUCGGGCCUUGCGCUAUCGGAUGAGCCUAGGUCGGAUUAGCUAGUUGGUGGGGUAAUGGCUCACCAAGGCGACGAUCCGUAACUGGUCUGAGAGGAUGAUCAGUCACACUGGAACUGAGACACGGUCCAGACUCCUACGGGAGGCAGCAGUGGGGAAUAUUGGACAAUGGGCGAAAGCCUGAUCCAGCCAUGCCGCGUGUGUGAAGAAGGUCUUCGGAUUGUAAAGCACUUUAAGUUGGGAGGAAGGGCAGUAAGCUAAUACCUUGCUGUUUUGACGUUACCGACAGAAUAAGCACCGGCUAACUCUGUGCCAGCAGCCGCGGUAAUACAGAGGGUGCAAGCGUUAAUCGGAAUUACUGGGCGUAAAGCGCGCGUAGGUGGUUUGUUAAGUUGGAUGCGAAAGCCCCGGGCUCAACCUGGGAACUGCAUCCAAAACUGGCAAGCUAGAGUACGGUAGAGGGUGGGUGGAAUUUCCUGUGUAGCGGUGAAAUGCGUAGAUAUAGGAAGGAACACCAGUGGCGAAGGCGACCACCUGGACUGAUACUGACACUGAGGUGCGAAAGCGUGGGGAGCAAA
rnacentral:rRNA from 1 species